rnacentral:rRNA from 1 species
UUAGCGGCGGACGGUGAGUAACACGUGGUAACCUGCCUGUAAGACUGGAUAACUCCGGGAAACCGGAGCUAAUACCGGAUAGUUCCUGAACCGCAUGGUUCAAGGAUGAAAGACGGUUUCGGCUGUCACUUACAGAUGGACCCGCGGCGCAUAGCUAGUUGGUGAGGUAACGGCUCACCAGGCCGACGAUGCGUAGCCGACCUGAGAGGGUGAUCGGCCACACUGGGACUGAGACACGGCCCAGACUCCUACGGGAGGCAGCAGUAGGGAAUCUUCCGCAAUGGACGAAAGUCUGACGGAGCAACGCCGCGUGAGUGAUGAAGGUUUUCGGAUCGUAAAGCUCUGUUGUUAGGGAAGAACAAGUGCAAGAGUAACUGCUUGCACCUUGACGGUACCUAACCAGAAAGCCACGGCAACUACGUGCCAGCAGCCGCGGUAAUACGUAGGUGGCAGCGUUGUCCGGAAUUAUUGGGCGUAAAGGGCUCGCAGGCGGUUUCUUAAGUCUGAUGUGAAAGCCCCCGGCUCAACCGGGGAGGGUCAUUGGAAACUGGGAAACUUGAGUGCAGAAGAGGAGAGUGGAAUUCCACGUGUAGCGGUGAAAUGCGUAGAGAUGUGGAGGAACACCAGUGGCGAAGGCGACUCUCUGGUCUGUAACUGACGCUGAGGAGCGAAAGCGUGGGGAGCGAACAGGAUUAGAUACCCUGGUAGUCCACGCCGUAAACGAUGAGUGCUAAGUGUUAGGGGGUUUCCGCCCCUUAGUGCUGCAGCUAACGCAUUAAGCACUCCGCCUGGGGAGUACGGUCGCAAGACUGAAACUCAAAGGAAUUGACGGGGGCCCGCACAAGCGGUGGAGCAUGUGGUUUAAUUCGAAGCAACGCGAAGAACCUUACCAGGUCUUGACAUCCUCUGACAACCCUAGAGAUAGGGCUUUCCCUUCGGGGACAGAGUGACAGGU